GGACUUAAUAACAGAGCAAAUCCUAAAUCUGGUCUUUGCUUCUUGUUAGUAAUCUGUCCAUUUCAAAAAGCAUGGCAAUUAUGCUAAGCCAUUGAAAAGAUGUGGUUUUGACUAAUUUUAUCCAAUUUUAAAUGUUUUGUUACUUUUAUUAUGUUAAUCUAAGAGCAAAUAUCCACAUAACUGUUCCUGCUUUCAAGAAAUACUCAUAUUAUGGACAGAUGCGGUGGCUCAUAUCUGUAAUCCCAGCACUUUGGGAGGCUGAGGUGGGUGGAUUACUUGAGGUCAGGAGUUCGAGACAAGCCUGGCAAACAUGAUGAAACCUCAUCUCUACUAAAAAUACAAAAAUUAACCAGGUGUGGUGGUGCAUGCCUGUAGUCCCAGCUACUCUGGAGGCUGAGGGAGGAGAAGGGCUUGAAUCUGGGAAGUUGAGGUUGCAGUGAGCUGAGAUCACACCACUGCACUUCAGUCUGGGUGAUGGAGUGAGACUCUGUCUCCAAAAAAAAAAAAAUUUUUUUUUUUUUUUUUUUUUUUUUUUUUUUUUUUUUUUUUUUUUUUUUUUUUUUUUUUUUUUUUUUUUUUUUUUUUUUUUUUUUUUUUUUUUUUUUUUUUUUUUUUUUUUUUUUUUUUUUUUUUUUUUUUUUUUUUUUUUUUUUUUUUUUUUUUUUUUUUUUUUUUUUUUUUUUUUUUUUUUUUUUUUUUUUUUUUUUUUUUUUUUUUUUUUUUUUUUUUUUUUUUUUUUUUUUUUUUUUUUUUUUUUUUUUUUUUUUUUUUUUUUUUUUUUUUUUUUUUUUUUUUUUUUUUUU
rnacentral:lncRNA from 1 species